UUGAGGUUUAUGCACCAUGACAAAAUCUAAAUAUACAAAACAUUUAUUCUUACUUACAUAUAAUAAUGUCGAAAUAUACGAAUUACUCCCAUAAUGAGGAUGUUCUUCGCUUUAUUGUUGUUUAGUACAUAAGUGAUUUUAGAAGUAUAGAACUCGGGUAAGAAUUAUGUGCUUAUGUCUUACUACACGAAUGGUGUGCUUGCGGAUGCAAAUCUUGUUACUUUUGGUUUUGUCAGAGAAGUUAUAGUAAAGUUAAAUUGCUAGCUAAUAGCUAUCAUCCAGGCAAAUUCAAAAUCAAAAAUGGAUUUUUUUUUUCAAAUAAAAAAGUUUAUAUAUUGGAUCCAUGAUCAGGAUAGGAUCAAAAGCAUACAAAGAUAUAAUAUGAAAAACAAAGUAAAAGUAAAAAUGUCACUAGACACCAGAUUAAAAAAAUCUAGCUCCGUAAAACUAUCAGAAUGAUUUGAAUAAGACAUCAACUGAAAAAAUAACCAAAAAACUAUUACAGUUUCAUGAAUAAGUUUCAGAUGAAAAUAGAGAUAUGAAUCGGUUGGCGAAGAAUAUUGAUUAACAUCAUAAACCGUUGAUUGAAGUAAAUUGAUUUUUUUAAUUGAAAAGAUAGGUAAAGAGAUGAAAGAAUGAAUGACGAAAAAAGCCAGAGAGGAUCAGAGAAUCAUUGACCAAGAAGGGAAGUGGUUGAAAAGAUAAUGCCAAUAAAAUGAGAUAAUUCAUGACUACUGAGACCAAGAAAACAAAACAAAAAAAGAUGAAGAGGAUACAAAAUUAUGAGGAAAAUGCUGAUGAAUCCAAAAGUGGAGAAGAUAAUCCAAAAGUGAACCCAUAUAUUUAAUGUAACUUACAAGUUCACUUACAAGUUUUCUAGUGCACUUUUCAUAGCAUCUGCAGUUAUCUUUAGGGCAUUGGCUGUAUCAGAAGUUGCAAUUGCAUGCUCUAGCUUUGCUUUGCUGGUUUGAAGAGUUAAGAUUUGAUUGCUUAGUUGUAAAUCAUAAUAAUAUUGAAGAGAUAUAACAUCUUAAUUAGAGUUAAGUUAUUGACAAAAGAAAUUAGAGUUAAGCUACUUCAAUCUCUACCACAAAGAUGAAAUAAAGAGAAGCUCAACCACAUGUACAAGUUGAGCCACACGGAGAAGUUGAUACCAGGGAGUAAAAGCUUAGAGAGUACAUAAGCCAAUCUAUGCUUAGCUUUGAAUAUGAAUUGUCCAUUUUCUCAAACAAUGCAUUAUUGAAAUUUCCAAAUUUAAAAAGUUGCAUACCAUAUAAUCAAAAAUCAGGCUACACACUCAAAGAAUUAGGCGAUGUGUUAUCUCCACUAAAAUGAAUGCUCAAAACGACUUGGGAGGAGGAAACAUCUCCAAAUCUUACUCUCUCGCUAGACAACAUAUCUCUUGAUACAACUUCGAAGCUACAAUAUUAAAUAUGUACAAAAAGUGUCCACUAAUUUAGGCAGUUUCUAUUUAGGCAGAGAAACUGAAAAAUAAUUCAAGUGUUGUGGAAUGAAUACCUCACAACCCAUAAGUCAUCACAUUAUCAUCACGUGAAAUAAGUUAAUGCAUAAAGAAACAAAACAAAAAUAAUAAUUAUGAAUGGUUAAGGUUGUAAUUGUAAAUGUGCUUUAGAAUUGAUGGAAUAUAAAUUAGUGGGAUAGCAUGAAUGAAAUAUAGAAAAAAUAGAACAUAAUUCAUUUCAUUUGUUCUUCGUCAAAUUUGUUAUGGAAUAAUUCUCUUUGUAUUUUACCUAAAAUUACUUUGGAACUAAUAAAUUGACUAUUUCAUUCAAGCUAAAAGUAAGGGUGCAACUAAAUUAUCAAUAUUUGGAAUGAAAUGCUAUGUGAUGACUUAUUCCAUUAAUUCCAAAAAUAAAUUCACCAUUUGUCUUGAAUGGAAUAGAAUGAUCAUUCCAUCAAUUUUAAAAAUAAAUUGACAAAUUACAAAAAGAUCCAUAAAUUUUUUUGAUAAGGAAUGAAUGGAAUGAAUCUAUUCCAUUUUUUUCUCUACAUUCCAUUAAUGUUAUUCAAUUAAUUUUCAUUCCACCAAUUCCUAAACAUGUUUACCAGUUACAACCUAAAUGGUACUCCAUCAGUUCCAAAAAGCCUCAUUUAAAAAUUUUAAGACAUAUUAAAUGAACAUGUUAAUGUUUUAUUGUCUAUACAUUGUUUUUGUUGUAAUUAAAUAUUUUCUAGAAUGUUUAGCUAAUAGAUUUUCAAUAAAAACAGUUUUUUUUUAAGCUUACAGUUUACCAUAAAACAAUAUAUUGAAAACUUAGUUUUUGUAUUUUGAUUUUUUUUUUCUAAAACAUGAGUCAUUUAAGAAUAGAGGAAGUAAUUUUUUUUAUUUUUUUUUGAAAUGAUAGAAUAAGUCAUUCCACGUUUAUAUGACUCGGUUGGACAUAUCCUUUUGGCUUUAGAUUCGGCAACCCUCAGUUGUUCGAUAUAAAAACUAGUUUCAACGCCUUUUUGUUCUGAUAUUCCUCUUGAUCCGUCAGGUCUGUGCGUUGGUCACAAUCGCAGUGUCUUAAAAGGAGAUCAGAGGGUGUUUAUAAUGAUCCUAACUUGGCUCGCCGGGAAAUCCAACAAAGAUAAUAUCUACGCUCUCCAAAAUUCAAUAGACUACCUAAAGCAGUCCCUUGAGUACUUUAAAAAAGAGGAGAAAUAUUACCUGGAGCAGGCUGCCAAGAGGCUUGAGGAAGCAAAAGUAAAGCACCGGGCAAAUAACAGAGCCGGUGGUCUAUAUUCAUACAAAAUGAAGGUUUGUUACGAGCGAGCAGAUCAACGUGUUCGGGAUUUUCAGAUCUCUGUACAUAACGGCGUGAGAUUUUCCUAUUGUUUUUUAAUAUUCCUUUUCUAAAUCAUUAAUUUAACUUCCAAGUGAUGACUGCAAUUAUAUUUUCACCACUUUUUCUUAAUACAGUUGAUUUUACUGGAGAAACUAAAAAAGGAAGCGAUGGAAAGAUUGCAGAAUGAAGAUUUCACAGCCAAGAAGUCAACUAAUGUGUUUAUUUACUUUUGUUUGUUCCUUUUAGUAUUAAAAUAUUUUGUGUCAUUCUAGCUCAUUAUAUUAGUUAAAAGUAGAAAUUUUAAUUUUGGGUUUGAGAUGUUAAUAAUCAUAAAGAUGGGAUUCAUAAUGUUCAAUUCGAGGUCAGAUUCUGUAAUCCUUUUCAGGCUUAAAGCUUCUUCUUCUUGUAUUA